rnacentral:tRNA from 1 species
GGCCGCGUGGCCUAAUGGUAAGGCGUCUGACUACGAUUUCCUUCGGGUUGUAAUCAGGAGAUUGCAGGUUCGAGACCUGCCGCGGUCA